UCAAGUUCCAAGUCAUCAGGGCAGUGCCAACCAAAAGGAUUUUGCACAACUGGGCACUUUCACACCUCCACAGUGCCAGUGCUGUAUUACAGACAAGACCCUGAGCUGUCAGGAUUAAAGACAUUUGGCUUCAGAGGGAGGUCAGGGGUGAAGCCUGACCUCCACACAGCAAUUAAUGGAUCAGGGCCCAGCAAGACAAGCCAGACCAAACCUCUGCCUCUGCCAGGGCAGUUGAGUUCUCUGGAACAAGGAAGAUCAUAAAACACCAGACAAAGCUCUGUGCCUAGAGUCACUCUGUUGGCUGUGGCAGAGCCGCUCCUGCUUUAUCAGUUUGCUGAGCUGUGGAUGUGACCCCAGGGGAGAGAAGCCUCAGGCCCUCAGUACUGAAAAGACAAGGUAUAAGAGCUUCCCAAAGUGCUGCACAGAUCUGAGCAGUGGCCAUCCAGGAGGAAAUGAUUCUGAAUGCCUUUGUUGUGCACUCCAAGUCCGUGCCAGUGGAAGGAUGCAACUCAUCAGCGCUGCCCUCGCACCACCCAUCUGCCAGGAGAGCCCACCGAGUCCCACCAGCUGGGAAAGUGCUGCCACUGAUGAGCAACAGGGAGUCUCUGCUUCAAAUAAAGCAUUUGGGACACACAGGGACCAGCGGACUUUGUGCCACUACACAGAGGAAAAUUCUUCUGCCGCGUGUCAAACACCUGAGCCUGGAUUUGCCCUCACUUGCACACUUGCUAUACUGCUGGAUGUCCUGCUUUUCACUUUUCAGGAACUUGGGGGGAAAUCUGACCUUGGACAAAGAGCUGGAACAAGACUAUGUCACCAUGAUGAUUAAGUGGGAUUUUUGCAUAAAUAUGAAUUUUAUCCUUUGUUGAGGGAAAUCUGAUCCACAAGCACAGGCUGGAAAGAAAAUAAAUGUUCAGAACUGUGACUGCAGCACGGGUAUAAACUGUUUGCACUAUUAAAAUCAUUUCCAGAGAAAAAAUACAGUAACUCUCUGAUUUAGCCUGUCUUGAAAUUUUCUAAAGAUAUGAUUUGCUGUAAAAUAAUUAAUAGGUGAUAAUCAUCCUGCUGUCAUAUCCUAGUAGUAUAAAGAUGUUUUUAUGAUGAGAGCAACUAUUUGGCCUCAUCUACCUUAACUUCAGAAAAGCUGCCUGUACUCCCUUAGAACUGAACAAGGCAGUUAACUUUCAGCUCCAUUGUACUAUCCAGAAAAGUGACUUUUAGAAAGAAAGAAAGGAGACAACUUUUUUGUAAAAGGUUCCAUUAUCAUGCAUGUUAUCAUGCAUAUUAGCAUGUUAUCUAAUGAUUUUUCCUAACAUCAUUUAGGCAGUAACAGGAGGAAAAAAUUAUAGAAAUGUGUUGCAUAUGGACAGAAAAACCUACUGAGAAGAUAUUUAAUCUCUGUAUCUAUAAUUUCUUCACAUUUUCUCUAGCUGAAGUAUUUGCAAUGUUCCUCGGGCAUGUGUUGUAGCAAAAGCAAAUACAUAGGAGUUGUCCUGGCAAGAAGUGGAGAGCACGUCCUGUGUAGCUCUCACAAUGGAGAGAAAAGAUAUCCUUUUACCUCUGGAGAAGGAUUGAAGAGAGAGUAAAAGAGAAAGAAAGGGUGCUAAUAACCCUUAAAAGACUGAAAGACAUUGCCCAGGAACCUGCCUUCCCUGGAGUCUCUUCCAGAGCAUGCCUAUGCCUAUGCUCCUGGACUUCCUCAGCCUCCCACAUCAUUCUGGACUUGUAAGCCUGGAGCUUUCAGCAAUGAGUUUGUUCAGCUCAUGGACAGGGUAUUCAUAUGUGCAUGGCACCAUCCCAGAACACAGGAGUCAUGGAGGUUCUCAUGGAGAGAGGCCUGGCUGGUUCUCAUACAACUCUUACAUCGAGCACUUGUGUUACACUGUCAGUUCUGUGCCUGGGGCAGGUUGGGGUGAUGCUCUACAGGAGGGCAGUGCAGCAUCAAGGAGGAAAGAGCAAAUACAACGAGGAGAACCAAGCAGACAGGUGAACCUGGAGUUGCAAAGGGCCAUCUGGCAGGUAGUUAGCAGCUGGAGAUGCUUUGCCAGCAGGCAUGAAAGGCACUGGUAAGAGUCCACUGAGGGUAAAACAAUGUACAGAGGUUCUGGGCUGAAGAAACUGGGCUUGCAACAACAACCAGUUCUGUAACACAUGGUGUCAGCACCUCUCCAGAGCUCCUUUGAUCUAUAGCUGGUCCCAGCUUUCUGUUGCUUGUGGUUACUUGGGAGGACUAGAGGGUUAAAGAGGCUC